CAUUAAUUGGUAACUGAGUAGAUGGGUAAUCUAUAUAUCAACAUAACAAUGAUGAGCUGUCUGCACAUUUUAUGUAGUAUAAUUUGAUGUAGUAAUGGCCUGAGUAGGAGAAAACGGCUAUCUCACAGUCAAUGAGGUUAUUGUAUCCAUUGGGACGUGAUGUUUGAUGAAAGGCCUGUACAUUAUAAGAACAAGGCUGUUUAACCUGGGUGGUAUCCAGUGGGUGUUUGUGUA